ACCUGGCUAGCUCAGUAGAGCAUGUGACUCUUGAUCUCAGGGUCUUGAGUUCAAGCCCCACGUUGGGUG
rfam:Ailuropoda melanoleuca scaffold59_21, whole genome shotgun sequence.